GAAACACAGGACACCAGCACAAGGGGACUGCGCGGCGACACCGUCCCUCCCUCCCUCCCUCUCUACACCAAUGGAAGGCUCGCCGGCGACGCGUCUCCCCGAGGCCGACGCGCUCCCCGAUGGCUUCGUCGAGAGCUCCUCCGCCGACCAGGCCCAGCCAGUCUCCUCCGCCCCCGCCUCCGCCGCCGCCGGUCCCCUGCAUCCCGCCCUCGGCCCUGAUCACGAGGGCGCCGCCCGCGCCGACGGCGAGCAAACCCUAGGCGCUCCAUCCACCCCCGCCGACGCCGCCGAUGCCCUGCGGAGUCUCUCUAUGGCCGCCGCCGCUUCGGAGCCGGAGCGUGCCCCCGAGCAGCAGGGGCCCGCCGCAGACAUAGGAGGUGCCAAAGAUGCAAUGAAGGAGAGCUUUGUGGUAGAGCAAUCGGAACCGCUGGCCAAUCCAAAGGAUAGUGGCGAGCCAAAGCGUAAGGUCGUGAAGCGGAACAGUAAGCUAGAGAAGGACAAGGAGUUGUUGCAACUUGCCCAGAGGUACCAUGGAGUGGUAGCGGAGAGGGAUGCAGCCAUUGCAGUUAAAGAAAAAUUAGAAUCUCUUUGUAGAGAAUUUCAGCGUCAAAACAAAAUGUUAAAGGUCUGUGGUUUAGGAAGAGUGCCAAAGGGUGUCAACAGAGGGGCAGAACUUUCGGAUGGAGAUGUCCGACAAAUUCGAGAAUGCUAUGAAGUGUCAAGCUUGAGGAGCAGAAAAACGAAUGCAUUGCUCAGUUUGAAGAGAACAAUUCGUAAGACUACUAAGCUUAGGCUGAGAAAUAAACUCAAAGACCUUGCUGAUCAAUAUAAUAUCAUUCAGCAGAAAUAUGCUCAUCAGCUGAAAGAAAAGACGCUGGAACUUGAGCUUGCUGAUCUGAAAAUUCAACAGCAUCAAGCGAAAGCAGCUCAAGAACAUGCCCAAAUGGUAUUGUAUGCUGAGCAAGUUUCUCAACUUGUCACUACUGAGAAGAACCUGCGGGUGCAGCUAGCUGCUGAUGGUGAAAAAUUUCAGCAGUUUCAGGAUGCCCUGUCAAAAAGCAAUGAAGUGUUCGAAACUUACAAGGAGAUGGAACAGAUGGUGAAGGCGAUAAAAGACUUCAGGAAGCAAAAUGAAGCCCCGAAGAACAAGUGUGAGAAUUCAGAUAUUGCUCUUGUGAAGCUCAUUGAGGAGCGUGAGGUGAUGAAGAAGCAACUAGACAAAUAUAAGAAUCAAAAGGACAAACUCGAGUCCCUGUGCCGGUCGCUGCAGGCAGAAAGGAAACAAAGCCCAUCUGUCAGUAUUCCUAAUGAUGCCUCUAACCAAGAAGAUGUUACAAGUCAGAAACAAAGCCCAUCUUCCAGUAUUCCUGAUGACGCCUCUAACCAAGAAGAUGUUACAAGUCAGCAGCCAGAGGUAUAGCGUUUUGGUGCUUCAUGGUGCAUACCCUUGGUGCUGCUGCUCUCUAUGGUAUAACUCGGCGAGAUUUUCUGAAUCCUGGCAAACGGAUAUAAGCGAUACUUUUACCCUGCUUUGCUUGUGAUUUUCUGGGAGCUGUGGUAUGUGUAUAUCACACACCCAACCGAAACUAUUUGCCUAAAUAUCUCAUCGUUUGAGCAAUUUCAGAGUGGCUUUGGUUUCUUGGUGCAAAGAGCUGUUGAGUUCGAGUUUGUAACCAGACCAGCGUUACAAUUUGUUCCUUUUUCGUGUGAUUGGAUGGUAGAACAUCAGUCUUUUAGAAACAAACCGAAUGUGUGCACUGGUGAACUGAUCAACAUUCUGUGUUAAGCAAGUUUUAUACUUAUAUUAGCGA
rnacentral:rRNA from 1 species